rnacentral:lncRNA from 1 species
GGAUUUACAAAAAUGAUAAAGUCAAGGAGAAGGAAAUGUUUCGGAAAAAAAAAUCAAGUAAUAAAUUGUGAUUGUGAUAAAAAAAAGUAAAGGAGUCUACUUUGACAAUUAAAAAAAAGAAAGAAAAAAACAUAAAAAAUGUUUGAGUUUACACAAAAAGAUAAAUCACCAAAAGAAGAAGUUGUAAAGUGAAAAAGAAAAGAGAUAUUGGAA